UACGUAGGGGGCAAGCGUUGUCCGGAUUUAUUGGGCGUAAAGAGCGUGUAGGCGGCCUUACAGGUCAGCUGUGAAAACUCGAGGCUCAACCUCGAGACGUCGGUUGAAACCGUAAGGCUAGAGUCCGGAAGAGGAGAGUGGAAUUCCCGGUGUAGCGGUGAAAUGCGCAGAUAUCAGGAAGAACACCCGUGGCUAAGGCGGCUCUCUGGUACGUGACUGACGCUGAGACGCGAAAGCGUGGGGAGCGAACAGG
rnacentral:rRNA from 1 species